AUAUUUGCUGAAACCGACCCUAUGUUUGACUGGAACUUCAAGAAGCAGGUCGUUUAAAAAAAAAAAUCUGGCUCUGCCGCUGGUACCACCUACAGCCUGUAGUGUGAUUUGCAAAAAUCCACAGCUCCCUGUUCAGAUCCUCCAAUCAGGGCCUUGGGGGGUGUUUAACUGUGUGUAAAUCACUGCUCAUGGACACGCAUUCACUCUCCCAUGUGGGGGGAGGGGCUUAGGAGACCGUUUUGGGCUUUAGCAGAAAGGGGGGAUGGGAAUGAGAAGGUUUCGAUGUUCAAAUUUUUUUGCUAAAUCCUGGAUCUUCACAAUUCUACCUAAAGCACCUUUUAUUGCUAAACU